GACGAACGCUGGCGGCGUGCUUAACACGUGCAAGUCGAACGGAAAGGCCCUUCGGGGUACUCGAGUGGCGAACGGGUGAGUAACACGUGGGUGAUCUGCCCUGCACUUUGGGAUAAGCCUGGGAAACUGGGUCUAAUACCGAAUAGGACCACGCGCUUCAUGGUGUGUGGUGGAAAGCUUUUGCGGUGUGGGAUGGGCCCGCGGCCUAUCAGCUUGUUGGUGGGGUAAUGGCCUACCAAGGCGACGACGGGUAGCCGGCCUGAGAGGGUGACCGGCCACACUGGGACUGAGAUACGGCCCAGACUCCUACGGGAGGCAGCAGUGGGGAAUAUUGCACAAUGGGCGCAAGCCUGAUGCAGCGACGCCGCGUGGGGGAUGACGGCCUUCGGGUUGUAAACCUCUUUCAAUAGGGACGAAGCGCAAGUGACGGUACCUAUAGAAGAAGCACCGGCCAACUACGUG
rnacentral:rRNA from 1 species